UCUAGACUAUUAUUAUUAUUAUUAUUAUUAUUAUUAUUAUUAUUAUUAUUAUUAUUAUUAUUAUUAUUAUUAUUAUUAUUAUUAUUAUUUUUGUUUCCUAUUAGAACUAGAACUCUUUAAAGACUAGUAUAAAUAUGAAAUCAAUUUACAAACCCUAGACAUAGAAACUCGAAGCCAACAGUAAAUUUUAGUCGGGUUUUGGAGAGCUGUGGGGCGCAGGAAACGUGAGGAGCUGGAGUCAGUUUUUCGCAGGAAAUCAAGUUCUGGCAGUUUCGGGAGAACGGCCAUAACUUCCUCCACAGAACUCCGAUUCAGGCGAAACAGGCGGCCACGGAAAGCUCUCUCGAAGACAAAGAAGUCGUAUUUCUGGGCGAAAUACGAUUUGAGGACGUUUGAGGCUUCAAACGAAGGCUUGAAGCUGACUGGUCUGUUCAGCUGCGAGUUUGACGAAAACUUUAGAAAUUUCAAGAGUUCAUAUAGGGAUGCGUUGGUAGAAAUCAUCAAAGGGAGUUAUCAAUUUCAAGAAUUAGUUUUGCAGUUUCAGAGUCGAAGUGGCCAUGGAAGUGGAGAAUGACUAGGGAUAAGGAUUUCUUUUACAUUGGACAUUUUAGUUGAACUUAUUAAGUUUUAUUUUAUUUUCAUGUUACUACUUUAGUUUUGGCAAGUUGACUUUGAAAUUAGUUUAAAUUUUCUUUAUAAAUCAAUAAAUUUUAUUUUCACUA